GGAGGCCGGGCCCCGCCUCGGGGCUCAGCGGUCGGCCCCUGAGGGCUCCUGGCACAAAGCCGGGGGGGCUGCAAGGGCCUGCCCGCGGUUAUAGGGGCUGCCCCUCGGAGUGCUACGCAAUCACAGAACCAUAAAAUAAUAAAGUGUAAGAAAGCCCUGCAAUAUCACCUGGUCCAACCGUCCCCCUACCACCAAUGUCACCCACGGAACCAUGUCCCCGAGCACCACGCCCAACCUUUCCAUGAACACCCCCAGGGAUGGUGACUCCACCACCUCCCUGGGCAACCCGUCCCAAUGCCUGACUGCUCUUUCUGAGAAGAAAUGUCUCCUCAUUUCCAACCUGAACCUCCCCUGGCACAACUGGAGGCCAUUCCCUCUAGUCCUACCACUAGUUACCUGUGAGAAGAGGCCGACCCCCAGCUCCCCACACCUUCCUUUCAGGUAGUUGUAGAGAGCAAUAACGUCUCCCCUGAGCCUCCUCUUCCCAAAUACAGUCCUUCAUACACCUUCGGUUGUGUACAGCUGAGGUGAAAUCCAAGAGUGUGCUUCUUUGCCCAAAGAACAAACCUUGCCAAACAGUUCUGGCUAUUCAGUGCAGAUCGUAAUUUGUUUUAACUCCAGUUACCUAGGGAAAUGGAAAAUGAGGUGUAUUCUCCAUCAGCACUUCAAAAAACUGGUGGAAAGAAGCGUGCCCCAUAACUGUUCCUAACCCUCCGCUUCCUAUCCACCUCAAAAGUGACACACUUACAGCACCUCACAUCCAUCCAAUGACAACUCUCUGUACCACGCACUGCUGCCUGUAUUUUUAUUUCAUGAAUGUAUCUAGAUAAGGCCUCCUGGAUCCUGUUUUUAAUCCUUACUGAUAAGAGUCUUGUUCCUGCCUUCAGGGUAUCUGACAGAAAGUCCUGUAGAAACAAUGCUACGAGUAACCUGGAACACCUCUUCUUAUGACCCACAAGUACCCUUUGGAACUGUUUUUGAGACUGCUGUGUUCUGCCACAUCCCUAUCAAGCAGAGGCAAUAAAGUACAUCAUAGUGCUGGAGAGGAGAGCUCACGUCCCUUUCUGUAACUGAAGUGAUGGCUGACAGAAGGGGGAAAGAGAGAGGGACACAGCGACUGAUUCCUGUAAAGCACCAACACUAAGAGGCAUGUAGGGUCAUUGCAGCUCAGGCUACCAAGGAGUGUACCCAAAACACCCUUUCAGUGCUAGCGAUUCCCAGCUGCUGUCAUAGUCCUUUGUGAUUGGGAAGGGACUGCCCAGCCCACACCAAGAACAGUGGAACUGCAAAACUGGGUCGAGGCAGCCGUGCUACGCUCUUCUUCAGGUGCACCCAAACUGCUCCGUCUGAAUAAGGAGACCGUGUAUCCUUUUUCAGAGUACUGGACGUACAAUGCCUGGCACUUCAUUUCAGCAUCCCCUAAGCUGACAGUUCCUGGCUUUGCUGUUCUUUUCACAGCUUCAAGAACUGAUUCACCCUGCUGCUUAUAAUUAAACAUAUCCAGCAAAAGAGGUUGUUUUGAGAG